UGGGGAAUAUUGCGCAAUGGACGAAAGUCUGACGCAGCGACGCCGCGUGUGGGAGGAAGCCCUUCGGGGUGUAAACCACUGUCAGAGGGGAAGAACGCUGUCUGUUCUAACAGGGCAGGCAAGUGACGGUACCUUCACAGGAAGCGCCGGCUAACUCCGUGCCAGCAGCCGCGGUAAGACGGAGGGCGCAAGCGUUGUUCGGAAUUACUGGGCGUAAAGCGCGGGCAGGCGGCCUGUUAAGUCUUUUGUGAAAACCCGGGGCUCAACUCCGGGAAUGCAGGAGAUACUGGCAGGCUAGAGAAUGGUAGAGGCUAACGGAAUUCCUGGUGUAGCGGUGGAAUGCGUAGAUAUCAGGAAGAACACCUGUGGCGAAGGCGGUUAGCUGGGCCAUUUCUGACGCUCAUCCGCGAAAGCGUGGGGAGCAAACAGGAUUAGAUACCCCCGUAGUCC
rnacentral:rRNA from 1 species